UACAGAGGUGGCAAGCGUUGUUCGGAAUUACUGGGCGUAAAGGGCGCGUAGGCGGUCUUGUCAGUCCCUUGUGAAAUCCCCCGGCUCAACUGGGGAACUGCACGGGAAACAGCAGGGCUUGAGUUCGGGAGAGGGAAGCGGAAUUCCGGGUGUAGCGGUGAAAUGCGUAGAUAUCGGGAGGAACACCGGUGGCGAAGGCGGUUCUCUGGGCCUUACCUGACGCUGAGGAGCGAAAGCGUGGGGAGCGAACAGG
rnacentral:rRNA from 1 species